GCACCCGUAGCUCAGUUGGAUAGAGCGCUAGCCUCCGAAGCUAGAGGUCACAGGUUCGAAUCCUGUCGGGUGCGCCA
rnacentral:tRNA from 1 species